AUUGAACGCUGGCGGAAUGCUUUACACAUGCAAGUCGAACGGCAGCACGGGGGCAACCCUGGUGGCGAGUGGCGAACGGGUGAGUAAUACAUCGGAACGUGCCCAGUCGUGGGGGAUAACGUAGCGAAAGCUACGCUAAUACCGCAUACGAACUCUGGUUGAAAGCGGGGGACUCGCAAGGGCCUCGCGCGAUUGGAGCGGCCGAUGGCAGAUUAGGUAGUUGGUGGGGAAAGGCUCACCAAGCCGACGAUCUGUAGCUGGUCUGAGAGGACGACCAGCCACACUGGGACUGAGACACGGCCCAGACUCCUACGGGAGCAGCAGUGGGGAAUUUGGACAAUGGGCGCAAGCCUGAUCCAGCCAUUCCGCGUGAAGGAUUAAGGCCCUAUGGGUUGUAAACUUC
rnacentral:rRNA from 1 species